rnacentral:rRNA from 1 species
UUCGCAAUGCCCGAAAGGGUGACGAAGCGACGCCGCGUGCGGGAAGAAGGCCUUCGGGUUGUAAACCGCUGUCGGGAGUUAAGAAAUGCAAGGAUGCUAAUAGUAUCUUUGCUUGACUAAGGCUCCGGAGGAAGCCACGGCUAACUCUGUGCCAGCAGCCGCGGUAAUACAGAGGCGGCAAGCGUUGUUCGGAAUUAUUGGGCGUAAAGAGCACGUAGGCGGCUAUGUAAGUCGGUUGUGAAAGCCUUCCGCUCAACGGAAGAACAGCAUCCGAUACUGCAUGGCUUGAGUGCGGGAGGGGAGAGUGGAACUUCUGGUGGAGCGGUGAAAUGCGUAGAUAUCAGAAGGAACGCCGGCGGCGAAAGCGGCUCUCUGGCCCAUAACUGACGCUGAGUGUGCGAAAGCUAGGGGAGCUAACGGGAUUAGAUACCCCGGUAGUCCUAGCCGUAAACGAUGGGCACUAAGUAGAGGGGUUUU